AUGGGGGUAUCCAGCCCAGCCUGCCUGCGGCCCACCGCGUGGCUCCAUCGACGGCCUGGUACGGCCCAGCUUCAGCAUCAACAACUCAAGACCCUCGCGAGGCGGACGACGCCAAGACCCCCGAGGGGAUCGGCCUCCCCAGGCUGGCUCCCGAGGGGCGGAGAGUUCUAUGCAAGGUUCACCUCACGAGGCUCAGCUGACGUGAGCCAUGACGACCAAGGCCAGGCGGGCGCCAAGCGGGCGCAGAGCGCAGGUUUCCUCUUCGGUGCAAGGGAGGCAAGCCGCAGGCGCGGAGUCCUGAAAAAUCAGCCAAAGGUUUUCAUUCUGGUGCAACGAGACCAAGACCGCCAGGAUGGCAGGACGGAGGUCAUCGACGAGCACACCGCAGCGUCACCAGAGACUUUUCGCAGGCGAAGACUACUUUUGUCAGGAUAA
rnacentral:rRNA from 1 species